UACGAAGGGGGCUAGCGUUGCUCGGAAUCACUGGGCGUAAAGCGCACGUAGGCGGCUUUUUAAGUCAGAGGUGAAAUCCUGGAGCUCAACUCCAGAACUGCCUUUGAUACUGGAGAGCUUGAGUCCGGGAGAGGUGAGUGGAACUGCGAGUGUAGAGGUGAAAUUCGUAGAUAUUCGCAAGAACACCAGUGGCGAAGGCGGCUUACUGGUCCGGUUCUGACGCUGAGGCGCGAAAGCGUGGGGAGCAAACAGG
rnacentral:rRNA from 1 species